rnacentral:rRNA from 1 species
GGAUUAGAUACCCUGGUAGUCCACGCCGUAAACGAUGUCUACUAGUUGUCGGUGGUCUUGUACUGCUGGUAACGCAGCUAACGCGAUAAGUAGACCGCCUGGGGAGUACGGCCGCAAGGUUAAAACUCAAAUGAAUUGACGGGGGCCCGCACAAGCGGUGGAGCAUGUGGUUUAAUUCGAAGCAACGCGAAGAACCUUACCUGGCCUUGACAUCCUGCGAAUCCUCUAGAGAUAGGGGAGUGCCUUCGGGAACGCAGAGACAGGUGCUGCAUGGCUGUCGUCAGCUCGUGUUG